UUGGAUUGCCUUUGAACUUAGGUCUGCUUGAUCAGAUCUGAUGUGCAUAGAGGUUAAAGAACAACAAUUACAACAUCAAUGGGGGCAUCAAAAACAAAAAAAAUCGCCAUGUUUCCUUUCUAUAAUAUGGUUCGUUGUUUGUUUAUAUUUCGUUUGUGUACCUCUUACAAGAACAUUAAGUCAUUAACGUUGCGUUUAAUUAAAAGUCAUCAAUAAUUAACCGGUCUUUUCUUCGAUAAAUUGUAAAAUCUAUAGAUUCAAGAGGAAUGUUUAACCGCGUCGAUCUCACCCGGCGCUGAAAAGUCUGCGAAGACCGUAGGCAAUUACCACUUCUUUCUUUUUUGUUUGUAUUUUUCUUUCUUUUUUUUUCAUAUUUUUAAUAAUUCCAGACAGUGAGAAAGGCAGUGCCCAUGGCCACUUACAGAACCUCUGAAAAAGGUCUCUUGAAACCGGGAACCUGGCCCGAAUGCUUACAACAGAGUGGACUCCACUAAAGGCUCUUUAGAUGCCAGGUGGUACUGUUAAACCAAGUGACGAGUUAAGUUUAUCACCCAAGACCAAAAUAAUUACAAUAUUAGUCCUUUCUACUAAAGGCACAAGGCCUAAAGUUUGUGAAAGGGGAUAGUCGAUUACAUCGACCCCAGUGCUUGACUGAUACUUAAUUUAUCGACCCCGAAAGGGUGAAAUACAAAGUCGACCUCGGCGGAAUUUUGAACACAGAAAAUGGACGGCCAAAUGCUGCUAAGCAUUUUGUCUGGCGUGCUAACGAUUCUGCCAGCUCGCCGCCUUAAUAUUAUUAAUAAUAAUAACCCUUUCUGCUGUGGGCACAAGGCCUGAAAUUAACCCGCUUGAGUUCUCUUUGUAAUUGACUGUGUUGAAUUCGGGGUGCCUCCCGAAGAAGGCGGCGAAGUAUCCUGCACUGGGGGUUGAACACUAUUAGACUGAGCUGCUGUCGCUGCUGCGGACUAUGGAGGUGAUGCUGGCCGCACAUUGUGCUCAGACUGGCUAAUUCAGGAAAAAUAUCUCAGGUUACAAUAAUCACCUGAUAGUGGUUGAGGGCUCGUUUGAACCACAAUUUUAAGGGGUAUCAGCUGGAACCACGAUUAUUUGAUUUUUAUUUGUUUAUAGGGGUCUGGAUUCAAAUAACCAAAUCAGGACAUAUCCACCAAAAUUACCUUUUUGGUGUAUUGCGGUUAAAAAUGAUUAUCUGCAAGAUCUCGCCAGCUUUCAGUCAAGGAUAACAUCGAUGACAUCAGAAGAAAGUCCAUCAUGUCGCAUCCAGCAAUUGUCUCGAAACGUCCCAGCCCAAGUUAUUCUGUUUGUGGUGAUGUUGGUCGCAGAGUUCGUCCUUCAAAACAUAAGAUUGUGUCAGCUUUAGCAGAAGAGCAAUCAAGAAUCGAAUUACUAUAUUACUGACUGGUCCAUGUUACGCAUCUUUAUUGUUUGUCAUUGUUAUUUCAAUAUUUGUUGUGAAUGAUAAGUGAUCAGUGUUCAGAAUUUAGUGCUAAUGAUUCUGAUUUUCUUUGCGGUGGAGUUCAUUGUAUUUUUUCGAUUUUUUUUUUUUGAGCGGGUGGGUAGACUAUGGUAAAGUUUCAAUCCAGGGAUCUGUUAAGAAUAUUUUCUUUCUGUUAUGUUGUGUUUUGGCCCCUCUUCAAUUUCGGUGUAAGUAAGGCAAAAUCCUCCAAGCCGGUGUAUGACCUUCCUGAUCAGAUUUUUUGCACCAUAAAAUAGGCUAAAUACCAAAAAAAAAAAGUGCAUUUCAGAUCAAUUAUUUCAAGAAAUUUAUCAGGUUUUGAGUCCAUUUUCUGUUUCCUCUUUUUAUACUUGUUUAAUCACUUUGGGGGUCAAUAACUACACCGAUUUUACCCAAUCUUGGUUGGUUUUGAUGUUUGUUACCCAAAUUGGAAUUAUACUUUCUGUGUGGCUUUUAACCCCUUUGAACUGAUUUUCCCCACAGUUUACAUAAAAUGUUGAGGAUGUCAAAUGUGUUAGCCCUCAAUAUGUCAAAAUUUAUCGUUUAAAAAAAAAUUAUCAAGUUUGAGGGGUUUUACCAAAAAUUUGGAUAUUUUUCAUGCAUCCUCUAUUUUCUAAAAUUUCUCAAAUUUAUGUUAGCUUAUGCACUCUAGGCUGUAGCUUUACUAAAAGACAAUAAAAAAUGGUUCUAAAUAAGUUCAAAUAGAAGUUUAAAAUCUUUUUUUAAAAGAAAAUAUGUUCAAUCUUAUGAUACUAAAAAAACCCCGUAAAUUUCGUUAAAUUGGCUAUAAAAAUCGAACCAUACAUUAUUUUAAACUCAGGUUUUUUGCUUUGUAAUCUCUUGAGUUUAGAGAACCAGAAAAUAUGCAUUUUAAACAUUUGGGGUAAACUUCCAAAUAUGAUAAAUUCCCAACCUGGUGCGAUUUUGUGGUUUUCUGGUAUGGUGGAGGAAGAGGCAGUUGCGAGAGAGAUGCAACGGUCCCCCGAUUGGUUCUCCGGUCUUGAAAGUGUAAUGUGGAUGUGUAAUGAUGAAGCUGGAUUGGUGGUGAUGGUAGCUGGUGCGGUGGUUUUCCUCACAGUACUUCAUGGUAGACAAUAUUUUGCAUGUCACGACACGUUUUUGGCCUUGUCUGUGAUCCCGAUUGAGUGUCAUUACUCUUACUUUGAUAUUGUUCAUAGCUCGUGCUCUUGAAAAUGCGACAUAUAAAUUGGCCACGAGAAAAUACCGGUUGAGGCAAAUGUAUUCUUUUUCAAUUUUCGCCCUUGAGCCUUAUUGAUCGUCAUUGAAUAUACAAGUCGAACUGGAAACUGAAGUCUGUUUAGUGCGAAUGGAAUAUUUGCAUCACAUGGGCUAAAAAUACAAAAACAAAAAUAGCUGGGGUUUAUAUAGAUUAAAGUGAGAGACUACCACAUUAAGGAAUAUAACGGAGGAUAUAUAAUAGAAAUUAAAUAAAUAAGUGAUUAGAAUCCCCAAUAGCGGGGCAGUCCACUGAGGGUAAUCUGGAGUAAACCCCACGCAAAAAACUCAGAUUACUCUGCCAUCCACAAGGCAUAGUAGGGUUCCCUCUUCCAGUUUCAUUCCUCCUGUUUAGAAAAUCAUACUCGGAGUCGGUCCAUUUGGCCUCAUCAGUCUUGCUACUCUCUUACUCUUCACUCUUUUACUUGUUUCAGUCAUUUGACUGCGGCCAUGCUGGAGCACCACCUUUAGUCGAGCAAAUUGACCCCGGGACUUAUUCUUUGUAAGCCCAGUACUUAUUCUAUCGGUCUCUUUUUGCCGAACCGCUAGGUUACGGGGACAUAAACACACCACCAUCGGUUGUCAAGCGAUGGUGGGGGGACAAACACAGACACACAAACAUAUACACAUAUAUAUAUAUAUAUAUAUAUAUAUAUAUAUAUAUACGACAGGCUUCUUUCAGUUUCCGUCUACCAAAUCCAUUCACAAGGCAUUGGUCGGCCCGAGGCUAUAGCAGAAGACACUUACCGAAGAUGCCACGCAGUAGGAUUGAACCCGGAACCAUGUGGUUGGUAAGCAAGCUACUUACCACAAAGCCACUCCUGCGCCUACUGUCGAAAUAAUAAUAACAAUUCUUUGUAUUAUAGGCACAAGGCCUAGAAUUUUGUGCGAGGUUGGGGGGGGGGGGUAGUCGAUUAUAUAGAACUCUGUGCUUGAUUGGUACUUGUUUCAUCGGCUCCGAAAGGAUGAAAAACAAAAAUGACCUCGGUGGGAUUUGAACUCAGAAUGUAAAGAGCCUGAAGAAAUAGUGGAAGCGCUUUAUCCUGUGUACUUAACAGUUCUAUAUUAUGUUCUAGGGUAGGGUUGACUUUACUUUCCAUUUUUAUGCCUUUUCUUUCUUUUAUUAUAAAUACCUUCACAUCUUGGAGACAUUUUAUUAAUAUCCUUUAUCUUUUACUUGUUUCAGUCUUUGGAUUGCGGCCAUGCUGGGGCACCACAUCGACGGGUUUAAUCGAACAAGUCAACCUCGAACAAGUCAACCUGGUACUUAGUCUAUCAGUGUCUUUUACCGAACUACUAAGUUAUGUUAACGUAAACAAAUCAACAUUGGUUCUCAAAUGGUGGUGGGGGA
rnacentral:lncRNA from 1 species